rnacentral:rRNA from 1 species
AACGAACGCUGGCGGCAGGCUUAACACAUGCAAGUCGAGCGCCCCGCAAGGGGAGCGGCAGACGGGUGAGUAACGCGUGGGAACGUACCUUUUGGUUCGGAACAACUCCGGGAAACUGGAGCUAAUACCGGAUAAGCCCUAACGGGGAAAGAUUUAUCGCCGAAAGAUCGGCCCGCGUCUGAUUAGCUAGUUGGUGAGGUAACGGCUCACCAAGGCGACGAUCAGUAGCUGGUCUGAGAGGAUGAUCAGCCACACUGGGACUGAGACACGGCCCAGACUCCUACGGGAGGCAGCAGUGGGGAAUAUUGGACAAUGGGCGCAAGCCUGAUCCAGCCAUGCCGCGUGAGUGAUGAAGGCCGUAGGGUUGUAAAGCUCUUUUGUCCGGGAAGAUAAUGACUGUACCGGAAGAAUAAGCCCCGGCUAACUUCGUG